rnacentral:rRNA from 1 species
AGGUCCCAAGGGUUUGGCUGUUCGCCAAUUAAAGCGGUACGUGAGCUGGGUUUAGAACGUCGUGAGACAGUUCGGUCCCUAUCUUUCGUGGGCGUAGGAUAUUUGAGAGGAUCUGUCCUUAGUACGAGAGGACCGGGACGGAUGAACCUCUGGUGUUCCAGUUGUCGCGCCAGCGGCAUUGCUGGGUAGCUAUGUUCAGAAUGGAUAACCGCUGAAAGCAUCUAAGCGGGAAGCCAACCUCAAGAUUAGAUAUCCCUCCCGAUGGAGACAUCGGGACUAAAGACCCCUUGAAGACUACAAGGUUGAUAGGCUAGAUGUGUAAGUGCAGUAAUGCAUUGAGCUGACUAGUACUAAUAGGUCGAGAGGCUUGGCCAU